rnacentral:rRNA from 1 species
GAAGGAUUCGAGCGUUAUCCGGAUUUAUUGGGUUUAAAGGGUGCGUAGGCGGACUGAUAAGUCAGUGGUAAAAGCCUGUUGCUUAACAACAGAACUGCCAUUGAUACUGCCAGUCUUGAGUACAGUUGAGGUAGGCGGAAUGUGUCAUGUAGUGGUGAAAUACUUAGAUAUGACACAGAACACCGAUUGCGAAGGCAGCUUGCUAAACUGUAACUGACGCUGAGGCACGAAAGCAUGGGGAGCAAACAGGAUUAGAUACCCUGGUAGUCCAUGCCCUAAACGAUGAUUACUCGAUGUGUGCGAUACACAGUACGCGUCUAAGCGAAAGCAUUAAGUAAUCCACCUGGGAAGUACGACCGCAAGGUUG